GAGCACCAGGCCUGGGAGAGAAGCUGGGGCUGCUGGCUCCCUGGGAGAAGGUAGACGUUUGGCAGAAUCAGUCCUUGCGUGGCCGUCUCACUUCGUGCUCACUGGUGACCAGGGAAGAGCAACAGAGGAGGGGCCGCAGAGAUGGAGACCAGAGAUCCAGGCUUCGGCUGCAUUCCCAAGGAGCCUGAGGCGUCCAGGUAUGGAGAGGUCCAGAUGGUCCCAGGCAGCAGAAUAGAUGCUUGAGACCCCUCCUCACCUUCUGCUGGAGGCCCUGGGGGACUCUGUCAGUCUCCAGGCACAAGUCUCCUAAUGAGUUCACUGGCCCCGUCGUGGAGAACUGAUCUGAUUUCCGGAAGAUGCCUGCCUGCCCUUUGUCCCCCUGAGCCUCUGGGAAGGUUCUGGAUUCAGCUGAAUUAAGAGGCAGGUGAUGAGCACAGGUGUUGGGUGCUUGGGCAGGAGUCUCCAUGGUAACUGAGCCAUCUGGCUUUUUGCCUGGCACCAGGCCUUGUGACUUCAUGAUGGAAUCUUCUCUGCCAGGCGCAGAGGUUUCCCAGGGGGAGGAGGAGGCCAGGAGGAAGGGACCUGCUGAGGAGGCUUUGUCUUUUCACCCAGAGUUUGAAGAUGAAGCUUGAUCUUGUCAUGACUCAGGGCUGCUGCUGACUCCCCAACGGCCGCUGGAGUCCAGGCUGGCUGGUGGAGUGGAGCCAGGACCCAGGUGGGAAAGACUGAGGUCUGGGAGAGCUGUUGGCCCACCACUGGGAGGCCCACACUGGGCCAGCACCACCGCAUGACAGGAAGGAUGUUCCAGGAGAGCUGCAAGGCUGAGCCCAGAGUCUUGUCCUCUCUGAGGCUCCUGGAGGAGGACAACCCAGAGCCCCCAUCCCAGCAACUACAGGCCACCGGUUCAGGGGGCAGUGAGUCCCUCAGCAACCUUGACCUCUCCCAUGGGCCCCUGGUGGCCCUGGAGUGCCUGCCCUUCUUCCGCACCUACGGGCAGCUCCUGGCUGAGGAGGAGUUGGUCCCACGGCCUGAGGUCUUCAGGGACCAAGGAGGAGACCAGAGUGUCAGAGAGGAGGACUCAGAGCUGCCCAGCAGCUUCUUCCCUUACUACUGCUCCAAGGAGGAGAGUUUCCCCAGCCUGGCCCUCCCUGGCGGGUCAUGUGCAGGCUCCCGUGGCCCCCCUACCAGGAGGGAGAUGCAGGCCUGCUGCCGCUGCACAAGGACAGUAAGCGGCGACUGCUCUGCUGGCCCAGCAGACCUCACCUCUCGGCGCUCUCACUCAGCUGCCUGCUGCCCUAUCCUGCUGGUCUCAGCCGGGCAUUCCCAUGACAGCGGCCUGGACACCCCUCUCUCCAGCGACGUUGCCUUCGGGUCCCAGUCCCUUCAUGCUUCAGGAUUUGUGCCUUACUACAGAAGCCCCGAGGAGGGGCUGCACAUAAGCCCUGGGCCCCCCGCCUCUCCACUGUGGGGCCAGGAGUCCGCAGGAAAGCUGCCCAGGCCCAGGGUAGCCACACUGUUGAGGGAGCAGGAGCUGGUGGUGGCAGGAACCACCAGCGGACAGCCCCCAGUACCUGAUGAUCAGCACGCAAGAGGGGAAGUGACUGAGGGCAAGGCUCCAGGGCUCAGCUUGUGGGACUGGAGCUGGCCUGGGACUGCAGCCCCCAGGCCUUCAUUUUCCCCUCUGGAGGGAGGCACCCAAGCCCAGGCUCUCCUGUUGGUCUCGAAAGAAGACCCUGCACCCUACUAGUGGGUGGCUUGACCCUGGGGUCUGAGUCAGCAGAGGAGAGCUCAGCCUGCAUCCCAUGCUCAGCCACACCCCCAGGAAGUGACCCCACCACCCUGGCUGCUCCCACUCCUCUCUCCUGGCUGGAAAACCUGCCCAAUGGAGAGCAGCUGUCCUAGGAGUGCCUCCACAAAGGGGAGGGAGCAGGGUUUGCCUGAACACUUGAGAGGUGCGGAGAUCAGAGAUUGGUUUGUGAAUAAAUCAUUCCACUCCCAGGGCUGGACUUGGUACACUAAUUUGAUGCUUUGGAGUAAUACUUGUGGCUUCCAUUUAUGGAGCACGUACUGUAUGCUAGGCAUCUCACAGAGAUCAUCUCCAUAGUCCUGAGGUACAGACACUGGGGUCAUCUGCAUUCUACAGCUGAAGAAACAAGCUCAGGGAGGUCAAGUAACGUGCCUGAGCUCACACAGCUCAUGGAGAGCAGAGCUGGGAUUCACACCCAGGUCCAUCUGACCUGGGGCCCUGAGCGCUUGAGCACUUGCCCUCAUGCCCCUCCUCGGGGAGUCUUGACACAGCCAGGGGAGAGUCAGCUGCUCCCUGACAGGCUGCCCUGGACCUGCCCCCACCUCCCUCCUCCUCACUGCCCCUCUGCCUUUCCUCCUCCAGCUCUCUGCUCUUUGGAGCAACGUAGUCUGCCGAGCCCCUGCCUACUCGGACCGCAUGGACAUGUCUGGCGCCCCAACUCCAGGUUCACCCCGUGUACCGCAGCAGAGGGCCAUGAGGCUGAAGCAGGUGGGUGCAGGCCGUGUGCUGCACCUGGGGCUGUGCACGUGCUCACUGGCCGCUGUUUGAAACCGUCCCUAGUGCCCGGUCACGCCCGCCAUGCCCCAUGCUCACAGCCACUCUGUCCCACCGUGCUGGCUCCCUGUCCACACACCCCGGUGGCUGAUUUGUUCCUGACCAGGGGGAUGCCUGCCCCUGCUCCCCACUCUUCCUGAGGAUGGGGAAGUUGAGGAGGACGGGAAAGAAAGCAGUCACUCACACUUCAGGUACAUGCAAGAAUUUCUUCUAAAGUUUCUCUUCUGUUGUUUGCUGUGAUUUCCCUUUGGGCUGGGAGACUUGGGGUUAGGAGUGUGAUGGAUGAAAUCUAGUGGCCUUGCUGGAAGACUCCUUGGCUUGGCCUGAGGGGACUGGCCUGACCCCUUGUGUGUUCCUCAGAGCCGGGUGUGGGUGGAUCUGUGCUGGCUGGCAUCCUUGAGCCCUCACUGCCUUCAG
rnacentral:lncRNA from 1 species